CAGGACGAACGCUGGCGGCGCGCCUAACACAUGCAAGUCGAACGGAGAUUACAGGCGGAAGUUUUCGGAUGGAAGCUUGUAAACUUAGUGGCGGACGGGUGAGUAACACGUGAGCAACCUGCCUAUCAGAGGGGGAUAACGAUUGGAAACGAUCGCUAAUACCGCAUGACAUAGCGGAAUCGCAUGGUUCUGCUAUCAAAGAUUUUAUCGCUGAUAGAUGGGCUCGCGUCCGAUUAGAUAGUUGGUGGGGUAACGGCCUACCAAGUCGACGAUCGGUAGCCGGACUGAGAGGUCGAACGGCCACAUUGGGACUGAGACACGGCCCAGACUCCUACGGGAGGCAGCAGUGGGGGAUAUUGCACAAUGGGGGAAACCCUGAUGCAGCGACGCCGCGUGAGGGAAGACGGUCCUCUGGAUUGUAAACCUCUGUCUUCGGGGACGAAACGAGACGGUACCCGAGGAGGAAGCCACGGCUAACUACGUG
rnacentral:rRNA from 1 species